rnacentral:rRNA from 1 species
UACGAAGGGGGCUAGCGUUGCUCGGAAUUACUGGGCGUAAAGGGCGCGUAGGCGGCACUGUUAGUCAGGCGUGAAAGUCCUGGGCUCAACCUGGGAACUGCGCUUGAUACGGCAGAGCUAGAGGAUGGAAGAGGCUCGCGGAAUUCCCAGUGUAGAGGUGAAAUUCGUAGAUAUUGGGAAGAACACCGGUGGCGAAGGCGGCUCACUGGCCCGAUACUGACGCUGAGGCACGAAAGCGUGGGGAGCAAACAGG